GGGGUUCAGCCUUUGCUCCUGUUCUUUUAUCCCGCCCACACAGCGCGCUCGCCGGCGGCGGUGCGGGACGCGCGCCACCGCUCCGUCGCUCGCGUGGUCAACCCUCCUCAUGCUCACCACGCACUACUGCCGCUCACCCGGGACCUCACACCCCUCUCUCAAUAACGUCCAUCCCCUUCAGAUCCUGAACUAAGGCCUCCACAUCUAGCAAUUGGGAGCUCGAUUUUGCACUUGAUUGGAAUGAUUUGAAGUGGAUUAUAGAAGGGAGGUGGAUGGAAACGAGAAGAAGAGGAGAACGCACUCCUGCUCAUGGCGGCCAGAGGCGUUGUGGCCUAGCGCUCGAAGUGGGAAUGAGGCUAGGCACGGAAGACGAGCGCUUGCCUGGGCGACACGAAGACGUCAAGAUGCGCAAUGCGUGGGCGACGGCGAGGAUGGGGCAAGAUGCGAGUGAUGCUGAUGGACGAAGAGGCAGCGACUGGCUGGAUGACGAUGAGUACGGGGGAAAUCGAAUGAAUGGAUAGAGCGGAGAUUAAGCGGUGAAUUUUUUUAUUUCCAUGUAUGGGUCCCAUGUAAUAAACAUAUGACAUCAAACCACCCACAAAUAUCUUUUACUACUACACUUGCAAAGAGAGGACUACUAGGGAUAACACACCAACAUAUUGUGAAGCGAAGUCAAUGUAUUAGGAACAAGCAAAUAACAACAUGAGAGAAAGUAAGGACCCGUAACAACGCAAGGGCAUUUCUGCUAGUUAUUUAUAAUGCCCAAAACCUGAUUUUUGGUAAUGGGUUUGACACUUUUGAA
rnacentral:lncRNA from 1 species